rnacentral:rRNA from 1 species
CCUACGGGAGGCAGCAGUGGGGAAUAUUGGACAAUGGGCGAAAGCCUGAUCCAGCCAUGCCGCGUGUGUGAAGAAGGCUUUCGGGUUGUAAAGCACUUUCAUCAGUGAGGAAAGCUUGUUGGUUAAUACCCAUCAAGUGUGACGUUAACUGAAGAAGAAGCACCGGCUAACUCCGUGCCAGCAGCCGCGGUAAUA